GACGAACGCUGGCGGCGUGCUUAACACAUGCAAGUCGAGCGGUAAGGCCCUUUCGGGGGUACACGAGCGGCGAACGGGUGAGUAACACGUGGGUGACCUGCCCUCAGCUCUGGGAUAAGCCUGGGAAACUGGGUCUAAUACCGGAUAUGACUCCAUGACGCAUGUUGUGGGGUGGAAAGCCUUGUGCGGCUGAGGAUGGGGCCCGCGGCCUAUCAGCUUGUUGGUGGGGUGANGGCCUACCAAGGCGACGACGGGUAGCCGGCCUGAGAGGGCGACCGGCCACACUGGGACUGAGACACGGCCCAGACUCCUACGGGAGGCAGCAGUGGGGAAUCUUGCGCAAUGGGCGAAAGCCUGACGCAGCGACGCCGCGUGGGGAUGAAGGUCUUCGGAUUGUAAACCCCUUUAGGAGGGAAAUGGGACGAGCAAUCGUCCGGAUGGUACCUACCAGAAAAGCCACGGCUAACUUCGUGCCAGCCGCCGCAGUAA
rnacentral:rRNA from 1 species